UCACUUCUUAUUACUUACUACUUAAUCUUCCGCGUUGUGUGCUGGGAAGCGCGCGGUAUAUAUGCGGACAUGAUUACAAUCGCGACUGCUAACAGCUGAGGUUAAUCCGGACACACGUGACUUCCCAGCCAAUGACGGAACAGGGAGGAGACAUGACAAACAUAAACAAAACCCACGUGUCCCAAUGUCACUAAGGUCGACAGCGGAAAAGCAGGUGUUCGCGCAUUUGCGCUUAAAGCACACUGCUUCAAGGGGGAAUUGUGACAACUGAAGUUUUAUUCUGCUGUAAAAG
ensembl:lncRNA